rnacentral:rRNA from 1 species
GACGAACGCUGGCGGCGUGCCUAAUACAUGCAAGUCGAACGCGUGGCGGACGUGUGUGGAAUACAUCGGACUCUACUCUGUCGUGGGGGAUAACGUCGGGAAACUUACGCUAAUACCGCUUACGAUUGACUUAGCCGAUGUCGGAUUAGCUAGUUGGCGGGGUAAAGGCCCACCAAGGCGACGAUCCGUAGCUGGUCUGAGAGGAUGAUCAGCCACACUGGAACUGAGACACGGUCCAGACUCCUACGGGAGGCAGCAGUGGGGAAUAUUGGACAAUGGGCGCAAGCCUGAGCCAGCCAUGCCGCGUGAGUGAAGAAGGCCUUCGGGUUGUAAAGCCCUUUUGUUGGGAAAGCGGUACCCAAAGAAUAAGCACCGGCUAACUUCGUGCCAGCAGCCGCGGUAAUAC